rnacentral:rRNA from 1 species
GAUGAACGCUAGCGGCAGGCCUAACACAUGCAAGUCGAGGGAGAAGCCCUUUCGGGGGCAGAAACCGGCGCACGGGUGCGUAACGCGUAUGCAACCUACCUUUCACAGGGGGAUAGCCCGAAGAAAUUUGGAUUAAUACCCCAUAAUAUUAUUGGAUGGCAUCAUUUGAUAAUUAAAACUGCGGUGGUGAAAGAUGGGCAUGCGUCCUAUUAGCUAGUUGGAGUGGUAACGGCACCCCAAGGCUACGAUAGGUAGGGGUCCUGAGAGGGAGAUCCCCCACACUGGUACUGAGACAGGGACCAGACUCCUACGGGAGGCAGCAGUGAGGAAUAUUGGUCAAUGGUCGGAAGACUGAACCAGCCAUGCCGCGUGCAGGAAGAAUGCCUUAUGGGUUGUAAACUGCUUUUAUAUGGGAAGAAUAAGGCGUACGUGUACGUUGAUGACGGUACCGUAUGAAUAAGCAUCGGCUAACUCCGUG